UACAGGGGGUGCAAACGUUGCUCGGAAUUAUUGGGCGUAAAGCGCGCGUAGGCGGCUACUUAAGUCGGAUGUGAAAGCCCUUGGCUCAACUGAGGAAGUGCACCCGAAACUGAGUGGCUUGAGUACUAAAGAGGGUCGCGGAAUUCCCGGUGUAGAGGUGAAAUGCGCAGAUAUCAGGAGGAACACCAAUGGCGAAGGCAGCUCGCUGGGACGUGACUGACGCUGAGACGCGAAAGCGUGGGGAGCGAACAGG
rnacentral:rRNA from 1 species